rnacentral:pre_miRNA from 17 species
AACCACAUAUUCGAUGAAUGGAUUCACCCGUGAGAUGAAGUGGUUGUUUCACCUAAGAUGAAGACAUGGCAUCCUAUUACCAGCCAUCGCACGAAAUUAAUAGGAUACCACAUCCUCAUCCUAAAUGGAACAACCACGUCAUCUUACGGCUGAAUCCAUUCAUCAAUAGUGUAGUA